GCUUAAAGUUAAUACAGAUGGCUCUACCCAUGUUGCCCCCGGUCAUGCAGGAGGAGGAGGUAUUUUCAGAGAUCAUCAUGGAAAUUUCAUAGCUUGUUUGCAACCUAUCUGCAUAUCAACAAUGCUCUGUUUGCUGAAUUGCAUACGGCAAUCCUUGCUAUUGAGAUAGCUAAUCACAAAGGUUGGAAGAACCUUUGGCUGGAAUGUGACUCAACAUUGGUGGUUAGUAUUUUCAAAGGGUCAAUCAAUCCUCCUUCAAAUUACAUAACAGAUUUGUUAGAUGCAAGCUUCUCUUGAGUAAUAUGAA
rnacentral:lncRNA from 1 species